rnacentral:rRNA from 1 species
UACGUAGGGCGCAAGCGUUGUCCGGAAUUAUUGGGCGUAAAGAGCUCGUAGGCGGUUUGUCGCGUCUGCUGUGAAAACCUAAGGCUCAACCUUGGGCUUGCAGUGGGUACGGGCAGACUAGAGUGCGGUAGGGGUGACUGGAAUUCCUGGUGUAGCGGUGGAAUGCGCAGAUAUCAGGAGGAACACCGAUGGCGAAGGCAGGUCACUGGGCCGCAACUGACGCUGAGGAGCGAAAGCGUGGGGAGCAAAUAGG